CACAGCCGACGGCGAUCCCCCACCUCUACCUCUACCUCUCCUUCCCCCACACCCACUCCAGCGCAACCUCCCUAUAGAUCUGGCGACGCCUCCACUAGGCGGGAUGGCCAGGACUUCCACGUGCUCGGCAUCCAUGGUGGUCGCACACCGGACGACCCCAACGGCCGUGCGUUGGAUGGCGACUUCGGAUCUUGUCCUAGUGGACAAUGGCGACCAGAUCUACCGGCAGGGAGGGUCUCGGUUGCCUCCUCGGCGACCUCUCGUCGGCCACAACCAUAUCAUUUGGGAGCCGUGCACGGGAUGGCCACUUUGGAUCUUAGCCUAGAGGACAACAAUGACCAGAUCUACUGGCGGGGGGGAUCUCGGUUGCCUCCUCGACGACCUCUCGUCGUCCACAACAAUAUCAUUUGGGAGAUCUUGGCCUAGUGGACAACGACGACCAGAUCUACCGGCAGGGAGGAUCUCGGUUGCCUCCUCAGCGACCUCUCGUCAGCCACAACCAUAUCACUGGUUAGGAGUCAAAAAUGACUAGACGAAGGGAUAAAGCAAUUGAUUUGAAUGAGCCACCACGCAGCGAACAAAGAUGUGGUUGAGCGUGUACUCGUCUGCAACUUCAGUGACUCAUCGUUUGAUCAUCAUCUAUAGACUCGAGCAGACGCUUAAACCCAGC